rnacentral:rRNA from 1 species
AUUGAACGCUGGCGGCAGGCCUAACACAUGCAAGUCGAACGGUAACAGGAAACAGCUAGCUGUUUCGCUGACGAGUGGCGGACGGGUGAGUAAUGUCUGGGAAACUGCCCGAUGGAGGGGGAUAACUACUGGAAACGGUAGCUAAUACCGCAUAACGUCGCAAGACCAAAGAGGGGGACCUUCGGGCCUCUUGCCAUCGGAUGUGCCCAGAUGGGAUUAGCUUGUUGGUGGGGUAACGGCUCACCAAGGCGACGAUCCCUAGCUGGUCUGAGAGGAUGACCAGCCACACUGGAACUGAGACACGGUCCAGACUCCUACGGGAGGCAGCAGUGGGGAAUAUUGCACAAUGGGCGCAAGCCUGAUGCAGCCAUGCCGCGUGUAUGAAGAAGGCCUUCGGGUUGUAAAGUACUUUCAGCGGGGAGGAAGGGAGUAAAGUUAAUACCUUUACUCAUUGACGUUACCCGCAGAAGAAGCACCGGCUAACUCCGUGCCAGCCGCCGCAGAAA